UGGGACAUCAGUAAGAUCAGGCCAGAUGG
rnacentral:piRNA from 1 species